rnacentral:rRNA from 1 species
ACGCACGCUGGCGGCGUGCUUAACACAUGCAAGUCGCACGGAAAGGCCCUGCUUUUGUGGGGUGCUCGAGUGGCGAACGGGUGAGUAACACGUGAGUAACCUGCCCUUGACUUUGGGAUAACUUCAGGAAACUGGGGCUAAUACCGGAUAGGAGCUCCUGCUGCAUGGUGGGGGUUGGAAAGUUUCGGCGGUUGGGGAUGGACUCGCGGCUUAUCAGCUUGUUGGUGGGGUAGUGGCUUACCAAGGCUUUGACGGGUAGCCGGCCUGAGAGGGUGACCGGCCACAUUGGGACUGAGAUACGGCCCAGACUCCUACGGGAGGCAGCAGUGGGGAAUAUUGCACAAUGGGCGGAAGCCUGACGCAGCAACGCCGCGUGCGGGAUGACGGCCUUCGGGUUGUAAACCGCUUUCGCCUGUGACGAAGCGUGAGUGACGGUAAUGGGUAAAGAAGCACCGGCUAACUACGUG